UAAGGAAUAUUGGUCAAUGGACGCAAGUCUGAACCAGCCAUGCCGCGUGAAGGAUGAAGGUCCUCUGGAUUGUAAACUUCUUUUAUCUGGGACGAAAACGGGAUUUUUAUCUCAAUUGACGGUACCAGAGGAAUAAGCACCGGCUAACUCCGUGCCAGCAGCCGCGGUAAUACGGAGGGUGCGAGCGUUAUCCGGAUUUACUGGGUUUAAAGGGUGCGUAGGUGGGCUUAUAAGUCAGUGGUGAAAUCUCCGAGCUUAACUUGGAAACUGCCGUUGAUACGAUAGGUCAUGAAUGAUCUGGAGGUAAGCGGAAUAUGUCAUGUAGCGGUGAAAUGCUUAGAUAUGACAUAGAACACCAAUUGCGAAGGCAGCUUACUGCAUAUAAAUUGACGCUGAGGCACGAAAGCGUGGGGAUCAAACAG
rnacentral:rRNA from 1 species